rnacentral:rRNA from 1 species
UACGGAGGAUCCAAGCGUUGUCCGGAUUUACUGGGUUUAAAGGGCGCGUAGGCGGCCGAUCAAGUCGGGGGUGAAAGCCUGUGGCUCAACCACAGAAUUGCCUUCGAUACUGUUUGGCUUGAGACCGGAAGAGGUAAGUGGAACUGCGAGUGUAGAGGUGAAAUUCGUAGAUAUUCGCAAGAACACCAGUGGCGAAGGCGGCUUACUGGUCCGGUUCUGACGCUGAGGCGCGAAAGCGUGGGGAGCAAACAGG